rnacentral:rRNA from 1 species
UACAGAGGGUGCGAGCGUUAAUCGGAAUUACUGGGCGUAAAGCGUGCGUAGACGGUUAUGUAAGUCGGAUGUGAAAGCCCCGGGCUUAACCUGGGAAUUGCAUUCGAGACUGCAUAGCUAGGAUGCGGAAGAGGGAAGUGGAAUUUCCGGUGUAGCGGUGAAAUGCGUAGAUAUCGGAAGGAACACCAGUGGCGAAAGCGAACUUCCUGGUCCAGCAGUCGACGUUCAGGCACGAAAGCGUGGGGAGCAAACAGG